rnacentral:tRNA from 2 species
GCCAAGUGGUAAGGCAACGGGUUUUGGUCCCGCUAUUCGGAGGUUCGAAUCCUUCCGUCCCAG